rnacentral:rRNA from 1 species
CUACGGGUGGCUGCAGUAGGGAAUCUUAGACAAUGGGGGAAACCCUGAUCUAGCCAUGCCGCGUGAGUGAUGAAGGCCUUAGGGUUGUAAAGCUCUUUCGCUGGGGAAGAUAAUGACGGUACCCAGUAAAGAAACCCCGGCUAACUCCGUGCCAGCAGCCGCGGUAAUACGGAGGGGGUUAGCGUUGUUCGGAAUUACUGGGCGUAAAGCGCGCGUAGGCGGGCUAUUAAGUCAGGGGUGAAAUCCCGGGGCUCAACCCCGGAACUGCCUUUGAUACUGGUAGGCUUGAGUUCGAGAGAGGUGAGUGGAAUUCCGAGUGUAGAGGUGAAAUUCGUAGAUAUUCGGAGGAACAUCAGUGGCGAAGGCGACUCACUGGCUCGAUACUGACGCUGAGGUGCGAAAGUGUGGGGAGCAAACAGGAUUAGAUACCCCCGUAGUC